UACGUAGGGCGCAAGCGUUGUCCGGAAUUAUUGGGCGUAAAGAGCUCGUAGGCGGUCUGUCACGUCGGAUGUGAAAGCCCGGGGCUUAACCCCGGGUCUGCAUUCGAUACGGGCAGACUAGAGUGUGGUAGGGGAGAUCGGAAUUCCAGGUGUAGCGGUGAAAUGCGUAGAUAUCUGGAGGAACACCGGUGGCGAAGGCGGCAUCCUGGACCAACACUGACGCUGAGGAGCGAAAGCGUGGGGAGCGAACAGG
rnacentral:rRNA from 1 species